rnacentral:rRNA from 1 species
GACGAACGCUGGCGGCGUGCUUAACACAUGCAAGUCGAACGGAAAGGCCUCUUUCGGGUGGUACUCGAGUGGCGAACGGGUGAGUAACACAUGAGUAACCUGCCCUUGAGUUUUGGAUAAAUUCAGGAAACUGGGGCUAAUAUCGGGUAGGGGCUCCUCCUGCAUGGGGGGGGUUGGAAAGUUUCGGCGGGUGGGGGUGGACACGCGGCUUAUCAGCUUGUUGGUGGGGUAGUGGCUUACCAAUGCUUUGGCGGGUAGCCGGCCUGAGAGGGUGACCGGGCACAUUGGGACUGAGAUUAGGCCCAGACUCCUACGGGAGGCAGCCGUGGGGGAUAAUGCACAAUGGGUAGAAGCCUGAUGCAGCAACGCCGUGUGCGGGGUGGCGGCCUUCGGGUUGGAAACCGCUUUCGCCCAUGACGAAGCUGUGUGUGACGGUAGUGGGUAAAGAAGCACCGGCUAACUACGUG